GGGAGUAUCAGUGGACAGCUGGCACUUCCUGCCUCAGCCUCUCCGUUACCAUACCUUGUCUGGAGAGGUAAUGGACAGAGCAAGACCAGGGACUCUGACAUCUAACACAAAAAAGAAGCUUGGCAUAAGCAAACAUUUUGCAGGCACCUGCCAUGUACAGGGACAUAUGUGAGAAGCCAUGGGUAUAUGACUGUAUGAGCCAUACCCCUGCAGACAAGAGGAGUACGUGAGUUGAGAGCCUCCUGCACAUCUGAGCACUUCCCAUACACCACGUCAUACAACUGUUGGGUUGAAAUGUGAGGACACUGAGCCUCCGAGAGACCUGCCUACAUUCAUGCCUCUGGUUGCAGUCCUACCUGCUACCGUUUAUGAAUUGCCCCCUCUGGUGGCAGGUGCCAUGCACGACACUUUCCAGAAGCUCCUGCCUUUGGGUCACCUGCUUGGUCGCCAUGAACACAAGGGUUCGCAAACCCUGGCUGCAACUUUCACCUACGAAGCCUGUGUGAGGUGGUUCGAGAAAACUUACAAAUUAACACCCAUUUAAAUGGGAGCCUUAAGUCAACACACUAGGCUGCUCUUCCUUUGAGGAAGAAGGCUGAUGUAUUUGUGUUUUCUCUUCAUCAAUUUGUAGCAUCAACAGACAAGUCAAAACAAUGAAAUUCUGCAUAACGUAAUGUCGUACAUGUGUUAAAUGAGCUCAUCUUUCUGUAACCUUCUGAGGAAGUUAUUAUUAUGACUAUGAGAUUUAAUACAUAAUACAGAGAUAGUCAAAAUGGGAAAUCAGGUCCAAAGAGAUUAACUAACAAUGGGACAAACGGGAAUGAUUGUGUGUGCCCCCUCAGUUGGUUGAGUAUCUGACUCUUGACUUCGGCUCAGGUCAUGAUCUUAGGGUCUUGAGAUGGGGCCCCACGUCAGGCUCCAUGCUCAGAGUGAAGUCUGCUUGGGAUUCUCUUUCCCUCUCCCUCUACUCCUCUCUCCCCUUCUAAAAUAAAUAAAUAAAAUCUUUUAAAAAAAAUAAUGCA
rnacentral:lncRNA from 12 species